rnacentral:rRNA from 1 species
AUGUACCCUGCCUGUGCAGAAACAGUUGAAUAUCUCAGUUCAGCUGCAAUGGUAGCGAUGGAGACAUCAUACAGUGUGGUUAUCAUUUGGCCAUUUUGGUUCAUCUUCAGUACGAUAUGUAAUAUUGCCAAUUCAGUCUUGUACCCUGUAAUUUGGUUCAUGGGAGAGAUACUAGCCGCACCUUUCCGACUUAUCACUGCACUAGCAAGUUUUGUAGCACACUUCUUUGAUGAUAUUGUUGAUGUUUUAGACAGACCUGGUCAACAUUAA